rnacentral:rRNA from 1 species
UACGAAGGGGGCUAGCGUUGCUCGGAAUCACUGGGCGUAAAGCGCACGUAGGCGGUUUCUUAAGUCAGGGGUGAAAUCCUGGAGCUCAACUCCAGAACUGCCUUUGAUACUGAGAAGCUUGAGUCCGGGAGAGGUGAGUGGAACUGCGAGUGUAGAGGUGAAAUUCGUAGAUAUUCGCAAGAACACCAGUGGCGAAGGCGGCUCACUGGCCCGGUACUGACGCUGAGGUGCGAAAGCGUGGGGAGCAAACAGG